CGGCGGAGCGGUUUGGCACCUCGAUGUCGGCUCAUCGCAUCCUGGGGCUGAAGGCGGUCCCAAGGGUUGGGCUGUUCGCCCAUGAAAGCGGCACGUGAGCUGGGUUCAGAACGUCGUGAGACAGUUCGGUCCAUAUCCGGUGUAGGCGUUAGAGUAUUGAGAGGAUCUCUUCUUAGUACGAGAGGACCGGGAGAGACGUACCUCUGGUGUACCAGUUAUCGUGCCAACGGUAGACGCUGGGUAGCCAUGUACGGUAAGGAUAACCGCUGAAAGCAUCUAAGCGGGAA
rnacentral:rRNA from 1 species